GCCAGUGUGGUGUAGUGGUUUGAUCAUGGGACUACAACUUUUGAGGUCAGGGUUCAGUUCCCUGCUCAGCCA